rfam:Gossypium hirsutum cultivar TM-1 chromosome 15, whole genome shotgun sequence
AAGCCAUGAUAUGAACACUUGCGAAGCAUUAGCUUAAAGCGCUCCCAUGCUUCGUACGAUGACCUUUCUUCCAAUUGUCAAAAAUUUGUAAUAUCUAUUUGAAGCUU